rnacentral:rRNA from 1 species
CCUGCCCAGUGACUAUACGUUUAACGGCCGCGGUAUUUUGACCGUGCGAAGGUAGCGCAAUCACUUGUCUUUUAAAUGGGGACCUGUAUGAAUGGCACGACGAGGGCUUAACUGUCUCCUUUUUCAAGUCAGUGAAAUUGAUCUCCCCGUGCAGAAGCGGGGAUAAGAACAUAAGACGAGAAGACCCUGUGGAGCUUUAGACACUACGGCAGAUCAUGUUAAACACCCCCAAACACGGGGUUAAACCAGAUGGACCCUGUCCUCAUGUCUUCGGUUGGGGCGACCAUGGGGGAAAACCAAUCCCCCACGCAGAUAGGGGAGUACCUCUCCCUAAUACCAAGAGCUCCCACUCUAAUAAACAGAACCUCUGACCCAAAGAUCCGGCGCACAGCCGAUUAACGGACCAAGUUACCCCAGGGAUAACAGCGCAAUCCUCUUUUAGAGCCCAUAUCGACAAGGGGGUUUACGACCUCGAUGUUGGAUCAGGACAUCCUAAUGGUGCAACCGCUAUUAAGGGUUCGUUUGUUCAACGAUUAAAGUCCUACGUGAU